rnacentral:lncRNA from 1 species
CUUUGUUAAUUAUUGUCUUUAACGAUGAUGAUGAUGAUAAACUUUAAUGAUCCAACCGGUGACGAGCAGCUAAACCAACAUGACUGAAUCAAUGAAUCUAAUCAACAACGAGCAAUGGAGAUGGGCUGCGAUUCGCGAUGAAUCCAACCGGUGACAAGCUACUCAACCGACUAGUGGGUGAUGCGUAAGAAGAAGAGAAGAGAGAGGAGCCAAGUGGUGAAACCACGAGGUGGUCGUCCGGUGUCGAGCAACAAAGAUUGCAAUCAACGAUGAGCUACUCAACCAAUAAAGAUGCUGCAGCCAUUCGUUUCUAGGUAAGAAAAACAAGAUGGGUUAUUCGACUACUAGGUCAAAGAUUUUGUUUUUUCCUUCUUUUUUUUUUUCAAUUUAUAUUUUUAAUUGCAAAGAGAAUAUUUUGGAAAAAUAGAAAAAACAAUCGCCAUAGUUUUGUCUUUAGGGGGAAUGGGAUACCCCCAAACUGGAAUGAGAAUCCCAUUAAUCAAUCCUUAUUUUAUGUGGAUCCCGUGCACCUUCUUCCAUUCCCACACUCAAUUAAACAAGUAAACAAUUUCUUUAUUCUGAUUCCCGUUACUGUCUAGUAAACACUCCCAAUAGUCUAAAAGUCUAAAAGAACAGCGUGAAGUAUUCUAUUCUCUAGAUUAUAGAUGAUACAUCCCCAAAAUCGAUCCUUCUUACCAAUAUACUUACAACCCCGUAGUGUAAGAAUCUAAAAAGAUACAGAGACCGAGGGGGAAAAAAAGAAAGAAAAAAUGAAAAACAAAGUUUCUUAGGUACACACUCCACUCGGAAAAAUUAUUUAAAAAAAAAAAAUCAAAAACUCGAACGAGAGAAGGAAUCAAAACAGAUCAAAGAACAUUAGUACGCCCUAAAACCAAAUUGCUCACGCCUCACGAUCUAGAAUGAAACUCUCCAGUCUCCACACUUUAGAAGAACAAAUACAAAUGUUUAGAACACCCAUGCAGCCCAUUCAAGUUUCAACCAUUUCCUGGGCAGAGCAGCAGUAACAGCUUUAACAGAUACAGCUCCCUGGUCUGAGCUGACUCAAAGAAACCUCUCUUCAGCUCACCACUGUUAUCUUUUCAGACCUGAGCCAUCUGCUGCUUCAGUGCCUGCAGGGACUUGAUUUUGGAUUCACAAAUCCGAAGAAAUGCAGAGAGUCCUGCACGCUGCCCAGCUACAAAUUUCCUUGCAACAUCAACAGGACUCCAAGAUUUCAUAGCUUGAGAUAUCCGAUCACCAAGUUCUGCCUCAUUCAAGGAUGAGAUCAGUGUUCCAAGAAGCCGGAACACCUGCCCAGGACCGUCACCCCUGUCAUUUGCCUCAAGAGAGGAGAAUAUAGCAUCUAACUUUUCAUCCUCUGACUUCUUGAUAUGAUGCCCUAACCACUUUGCUACCUCUUCCACUACGCCACUUGUAGAUUGAACAGAGCCCCGAAUAUCAUGAGACAGUGGAGAGGUAGAAUGAUCUGCAGAUCCACUUUUCUUCUUCUUCUUUCCAGAUGGAAGAGAUGAUCGGACACAAGAUUGCAUUACAAGUGUAUGCCAAGCCAACGGUUCUGUGACAAGUUGCACCAAAACUGAAAGAUCAAGCCGUGGAUAGCAUACAAGUGACUCCAUGGAUCUGACCUCCAAAAUACACUUCUUCAGCAGUGUAUUCACAACCUGCCAAGUAGAAGGCCUGCAUCCAUUUACAUCCGGCAGCACAACUUCAUGGGAACUCAAGUUCCAUGCAUUCAAAAAUACAGCAAAAUUCAACCAACCAACCAUGUCCGCACCAAAAGCCUGCCUCACAGGUAAAAAAGUUACUUUAAUAGGGCAGCAGUGUAACUAAUGAGUCAGCAAGCAUGCAUACGCCUCAAUUACUAACUUUUCUUCAGUGGCGAAGUGUACGCACUACUUGCACUUAAGAUGUAAUCAUGAUCAACCUGAUAGAAUUUCAGCUCUUUUAAUUUCCCAGAAAAUUUUGUUAUUUUACUAAGCUUAUUUCCAUGUUGUAUAUUUCCAUGCCAAAAUAUGUCAAAUGAACUUAUGGCUUUUAAAGGGAGAGGAGAAAUAUUUUGAAAAGCUUGCUAUGCCAAAUUCAAAAGUGGUUCACCAUGUAUAUCGGUUUUGGGUACUCACCACAUAGGCAUCUUGUCUAUGUAAUUGGAGCAUUGCAACGAAAUUCAGUAACACUUACAAAAUUAAAGGAUCCUAGCAAAGCGAAGAUAUGUGCUUGUAGUCAGAAAGCCAGCAAUCACUUACCUCAGAAGAGUUCAAGCCACUAGAAACCCCUGAAACCACUUCUACUGCAUCUCUUAAAGAAAACCCCAACAUUUUUGCAUAGCGAUCAAGCAAAUACUUCAGCUCUGACGAAACUUUUGGGUCACAUAUAGAUCCAUUGACUUCAAAGUUUUCCUUGACGCAUGCUGAAACAGUCUGAAUUGACAGAUAUAUCAACCGAGGCAGAAGAGAUUUCCUCUCAACAACUCCUAGUAUAUUUGCUUCCCUUUCUUUCAUCUAGAUUUGCUCAAUAUAUAGAAAACGAUCGAAAGUUACAAAACGAAAAGGAGGGAUUAUGUGUGUAUCAUUACAAAGUCAAGGACAGAGGAUAGUACCAAGUUCUCUUUAGGACAGUAGGAGAUUCCUGCAAAUGGACCUGUGCAAAACAAUUGUCAACACAUUGUAAGAAACGAACAUAAGAAGACACCCACUAUAACACCCAACACUGUCAUACACAACAUUGCAGAAUAAAUCUUGAAAGUUCUAACUUCUAAAAGCAUACAAAUCCUAAGCAAGGAAAGUAGUAUCAUUUUUCUUCAAGAACAAAAUUCAGAGAAGAGCCACACUACACUAGACAAUAUCUUAUCCUUUUCUGACGCAUCUUUAUUUUCGUUGACUUCUAUCAUUGUCAAACAAUUCAGUUGCACAAAAUGUUACCAUACCAAAGAACUGCAAGCACAUUGGAAAGGUCCAGUGUUUUAACUUACCUAACAGAUAAUUCUUAUCUGGAGUUGGUGCCCACCAGGGACGAGACUGCCAAUCUUCAUUGAAGGUCACAGAUUUGGAUCCAAUCUCAUUGGAUAGCUCAAGAAAGUGAACCCCGCAUUUCAAGUUUUCAAGAACAGACUACAGGAGGAUUUAUGUAUGUUACACACUGAUUGCACACAUUGAAAGAACAAAAGCAUUCAAUUUUAUAAUGGAGAGUUAGAAGUUACCUCUUCUUCUUCAAUAUUAUCGGCAUUCUGCUUUAGUUGUAGAAUGGAUGAUUCAACCCUUGCCACUAAAUAUUGACUGGACCGUUGCAAUCUUUCUUUAAAUUGAACAAAUUCAAUGACCUGAAAUCAGAUAAUAAAACAUUUUGGUCCAUGAAUUCACCGUGAAUUAAACCUUGUCCCAAACAUUGUACUUAAUGGCAUGUCUAAACCUUUUUCAUAUAAACUCAGCUGCUUGUGAACAGCCAGGGCCUAUCUCAUACGUAAUCAAAAAGCUGGUUUAUCCCAUUGUCUGCAACAAGUUCAAUGGCAGUUCAAUAAGGAAUGUCCCUAUUAAAGUCUAGGAAAAUUCAACUUUCAAGGUUAAUCUCCUAUGUAAUUGCAAAUAAAAGUCAACUUAGCAUUGCCAACUCCAACAGCUUAAAAAUAAUUCUGGACUCAUUGGACACGAAUUCUACAUAUCCUCAUAAGUUGUAUCUAUCAUUUGGAAGCAUAUUUCUCUAGAAAUUUUUUUUUGCUCCAAUCAAAAUUAUUGACUCCAAACAAAACGUCAAGAAGGUGAUCCCUACUACCAUAUAUGGUCAGACACCACAUGCACCCAGGAAAACAAAAAGCAUACAGGACUGGGGUAUCGGUAUGAAGAAAGAACCCAAACAAUGAAUAUGUUUCUGAUAUCGAAUCAGGCGAAGGAAGAAAUAUUUACAAGAAACAAAUAUGGACAAUUUCAGUACAAACUAAAAACAUUUGACACAGGUGAUCUGCUGCAAGAAUACACUCAGGUCAUGAGAGAGAUAUUAGUGUAAUACAAUCACAUACUUUCGAGUAAUUUCUGUGGCGAUAUGCAAGAAAUGUAAGAUCUGCUGAUUCUCUCAAGUGGUCAUCCAUAAACCUGAGGUAAUCUCUUAGUAGAUUAUUUGAUUCCACCCAAAGGGAAGAAACCAACAUCUGAGGCAGAAUGUGAUGUGAGACAGUUUCCAUCAAGAUGUUCUUCACGUCCAACGCUUUAUACCUAAAAAGCAGAAGUAAUUAUACUAAAAUACCUAAAGAAAGAAAAAGGUUCAGGUUAUGAGUGCCAUUGGACAUAACGUUUAAGUACUUUACCAUUCAUACGCCAAGGGAAGGGCGCCAAGGUGUGAAUACAAGUGUACCAAUAACACCUUGUAUUGCCACGCGUGUCUGACAAAUAUGACCACAUAGACAACUGUUAUCUCCAUUGUAAAAGCUCCGUAACAGAGCGAAUAGAUUUCAAACAAAGCUGAAAGUUUUAGCCAAAAAGCCUCAACUUGAAAAAACAACUGCCUCCUUAACUAUAUGCAUGUUUCUAAUUCAUCAACCAAAACUAAUAUGACUUCAACUACUAAGAUUAAAGUACAAAGAAGAUUUGCAACAUUAAUUGUCAUAGCUGACAUUAAAUCAGUAAAUUACAGAUUUGACAAAGGUAGAUUAAACUCUAAGAAUGUCGUCUGACCUUCGGACGGUCAAGCCAAACUCCAAAACCAUUAUUGCCUCCAUGAAGUAGCCGUAAUUACUUGUGCGCCAGAAUAACUGAAGCCAAAACACAAUUCAAAGAUAUGAAACAAACCGCAAAGAUACAAACACAAUUGAAAAUUAAAUUACGAAAAUUUUCUCGCCUGACGACGAAAUACACAUGAAAUCAAAUCUAGAAGCUUUAUUAUAUGACAUAUGAUAAUGACAUUUUCUUUAGAAGGACCAUCGCCAGUACAAGGGGGGAAAAAUUAAUUAUGUGAUAUCCGGAUCUUAAUUUGUUUCAUCAUAUUGAUUAAUUUCUUUUCAGAUGACUUUAUUCUCAUGCAGUGUGCCUAAAUAUGCUUCAGUGAGAUAUGUACCAAUACGAAUAAUGAAAUAUGCCAAGGUAGAGAGAAGAAAUUAGUAAAAGAGACGACAGUGUGCACAUCUUCAUCUGCUGGGGAAAGAAAGAAAAAAAAUUUGGGAUAUCUCCAAAACAUAGAGCAGCAAAGGGAAUGUGCAUCACAUUUCUAGUUUCUUAUUUGAAAUUUUUCUUAUUCUGACGUCACAACACCAACCCCGUGGCUCAUAAACUUUUCUACUGCAAUGGUAACCGUCAAGUUAUUAGCUUCAUUACUGUCUCUCUCCAAGAUAAGAAUGUGAAAGCCCAACUUUAUAUUGCAUGGCAAACACAUAAAUCAUACAGGAUUUGAUUGGUUAGUAUACCUCCAUAGUAAAAGUGAUGCCAACAUACAAUAUUUCUCAGCGUAAAAGUG